ACUGGAACUGAGACACGGUCCAGACUCCUACGGGAGGCAGCAGUAAGGAAUCUUCCACAAUGGGGGCAACCCUGAUGGAGCAACGCCGCGUGAAGGAUGAAGGCCCUCGGGUCGUAAACUUCUUUUAUAAGUGAGGAAUAUGACGGUAACUUAUGAAUAAGGAUCGGCUAACUACGUGCCAGCAGCCGCGGUCAUACGUAGGAUCCGAGCGUUAUCCGGAGUGACUGGGCGUAAAGAGUUGCGUAGGCGGUUAGUUAAGCGAAUAGUGAAACCUGGUGGCUCAACCAUACAGACUAUUAUUCGAACUGGCUAACUCGAGAGUAGCAGAGGUACCUGGAAUUUCUGAAGUAGGGGUAAUAUCCGUAGAUAUCAGAAGGAACACCAAUGGCGUAGGCAGGGUACUGGGCUAUUUCUGACGCUAAGGCACGAAAGCGUGGGGAGCGAACCGGAUUAGAUACCCGGGUAGUCCACGCCGUAAACGAUGGAUACUAGCUGUAGGAGGUAUCGACCCCCUCCGUAGCGAAGCUAACGCGUUAAGCAUCCCGCCUGUGGAGUACGGCCGCAAGGCUAAAA
rnacentral:rRNA from 1 species